GUGGGGAAUCUUCCGCAAUGGACGAAAGUCUGACGGAGCAACGCCGCGUGAGUGAUGAAGGUCUUCGGAUUGUAAAGCUCUGUUAAUCGGGACGAAAGAGCCUAGUGUGAAUAAUGCUAGGAAGUGACGGUACCGGAAUAGAAAGCCACGGCUAACUACGUGCCAGCAGCCGCGGUAAUACGUAGGUGGCAAGCGUUGUCCGGAAUUAUUGGGCGUAAAGCGCGCGCAGGCGGAUCUGCCAGUCUGUCUUAAAAGUUCGGGGCUUAAACCCGUGAUGGGAUGGAAACUACAGAUCUAGAGUAUCGGAGAGGAAAGUGGAAUUCCUAGUGUAGCGGUGAAAUGCGUAGAUAUUAGGAAGAACACCAGUGGCGAAGGCGACUUUCUGGACGAAAACUGACGCUGAGGCGCGAAAGCCAGGGGAGCGAACGGGAUUAGAAACCCUGGUAGUCC
rnacentral:rRNA from 1 species